rnacentral:rRNA from 1 species
AUUGAACGCUGGCGGCAGGCCUAACACAUGCAAGUCGAACGGUAACAGGAAGCAGCUUGCUGCUUCGCUGACGAGUGGCGGACGGGUGAGUAAUGUCUGGGAAGCUGCCUGAUGGAGGGGGAUAACUACUGGAAACGGUAGCUAAUACCGCAUAAUGUCGCAAGACCAAAGAGGGGGACCUUCGGGCCUCUUGCCAUCGGAUGUGCCCAGAUGGGAUUAGCUUGUUGGUGGGGUAACGGCUCACCAAGGCGACGAUCCCUAGCUGGUCUGAGAGGAUGACCAGCCACACUGGAACUGAGACACGGUCCAGACUCCUACGGGAGGCAGCAGUGGGGAAUAUUGCACAAUGGGCGCAAGCCUGAUGCAGCCAUGCCGCGUGUAUGAAGAAGGCCUGCGGGUUGUAAAGUACUUUCAGCGGGGAGGAAGGGAGUAAAGUUAAUACCUUUGCUCAUUGACGUUACCCGCAGAAGAAGCACCGGCUAACUCCGU